CGGGUAAUAAGGAUGACUUCUCGGCCAGGAGGCUGCCCGCGGCCCGGGCGGCCACCUCUUUCAGGAGGGCGGCAGAGGAGGUCAUGGAGGCCAGCGACAGGAACGAGCUGGCCGGAGGCGGGUGCUCCUGGCCCGGGGAUGCUUCCGAUGGAGUCUCAGAGGAGUUCCCAUACCAGUGCUCUCCUUCGCUGAAAUCUCCCUCGGCCUCGUCCUGCCUACUAACAUCUGGAGGGAAUCAAGAAGACCAGGUUACUCCCACAGAGAACGGCCAGUUUGUUUGAGACCCCCAAAGGGGAGGUGGUGACAUGCACAGCCUUCCCUUCCACCCAAGAACCACACCAGGGCUGGAACACCAAGAGCUGCCUCAAGAACCCAAGAGGGCCCCGGCAGCAAAAAGACACCUCCAUCUUCUUGUCCAUCAACCAGCAUGGAAUCAGCCUAGGAAAUGGCAGAGCAGGACAAGGUCCUGGCAAAGCUUCCCACGGCUUUCACAGCUUUCUUAACCAAGGCAUCCUGGGGAAGCCUCUACAUGGCCAAU